rnacentral:lncRNA from 1 species
UUCCAAUUACAGCCCAUGGUCCAGCAUCGUUUUCAUUUCCAGAUACAUGAUCACCAACUUGGUCUCUCUCACCUGCUUUUAAAUUGAUGUCGUAAAAGCUCAGCUAUUUACAUUCUUUAUGUCAAGACUGGAGCUGCUUAAUAUGUCUAGAUUUUGGAGAAAAAAAUAUAUUAUUUGGGUGAUUGGCUUUACUUUUUUUAUUGUUAACAAUGAAUAAUAUUUACCAACAUUUUCAUCAAUGUCUUACUUGCAGUUUCUUCUUUUAUCCCACGCCAACUGAAUAUGUUCACUUAUUAUUCUUUCUGAAGUACAUUGUUUAAUAAUAGUUUCCCUAAAGGUCUGUGGGUGGUAAGCACUCUAUGUCUUUGAAUGUCUGAAUAUUUUGUUUUGCUGUCAUUUAAAAAAAUCUAGUCAAUCUAGGCAUAGAGUUGUUGUUGCCAUUUAUGUUUUUCAGUCCUCUGAAACUAGCAUGACAUUUACUUCUGAAAACAUUAUAUUAUUGCUGAUGAGAAUUCUGACGGUAGUGUACUUGUCUGGUUCUCUUAAGUCAUCUUUUUGUCUCUAGAAGCUCUUAAGAUUUAACAUUAUCCUUGAAGUGUUUUUAUUUAAUUAUAACUCAUCUCAGUGUGGGUUUAUUUUUAUUUGAGCUGCUUAGUAUUCACAGUAUACUUGCAAUCUAAGAAAAACUACCCUUUUUCCUUUUGCAAAAAUCUCAGAAAUACAUCUUUAAGUAUUAUUUGUGCAUUAUUUUUUGCAUUCUCUUUUUUUCAAACUCCCUUUAGAUAUAAAAGCACAUAAAAUGAUCUUCCACACCUCCUGAUUUCUUGUUUAUGUUUUUAAUGUCUCUAGUGGUGAUCCAGUGGACUUUAUUAGUACUGUGUUUCAAUUUACUAAUUCUCUCUUUAUGCUAAUUUUGUAUUUAUGGCAUCUAUGGAUUUUUUUAAAAUUUGGUAACUCCAUUUAAAUUCAUAGACUUUAAAUUUAUCUUUCAUAGCCACUUAUUUUCAGCCAGUUUUUCUUUCACAAGUUAUUAUUCUUUUAAAAUUGAUAUUAAUCUUUUGUUUAUCUCUUUGAACACCCUACACAACUUGUAUAACAAUUUCACCUGGAGUGAACUUGUAUUCUGAUUACUGAUUUCAUUCUUUUCUUAGAAUAAAUUUAAAUUGUUAGGUUCAUUUUGAGUUGACAUUUUCUGUUUUCUUUGUCUUUCACUUUUUGUUCACUAGUUCUAACCUAGGAGUUGCCUCCACCUUGCUUCCUGGUUACAUUUUUUUUUUUUUUUUU